rnacentral:rRNA from 1 species
CAAUAGCGUAUAUUAAAGUUGUUGCAGUUAAAAAGCUCGUAGUUGGAUUUCUGGUGGGAGCGAUCGGUCUGGCGCUUAGCGCGAGUACUUGCAUCGUCUCCGGCCAUCCUUGGGGAGAGUCUGUCUGGCAUUAGGUUGUCGGGCAGAGGAUCCUCAUCGUUUACUGUGAAAAAAUUAGAGUGUUCAAAGCAGGCUUAUGCCGUUGAAUAUAUUAGCAUGGAAUAAUAAGAUGGGACUUUGGUACUAUUUUGUUGGUUUGCGCACCAAAGUAAUGAUUAAUAGGGACAGUUGGGGGUAUUCGUAUUCCGUUGUCAGAGGUGAAAUUCUUGGAUUUACGGAAGACGAACUACUGCGAAAGCAUUUGCCAAGGAUGUUUUCAUUGA